rnacentral:lncRNA from 1 species
AGAGAGACAGCCCCACGCCCGGCAAGACGCAACUCCGGGCCACGGAGGGCGCCGCCCGGACAGCCCGGCCGGGUCAGGGGGCUUCGCCGCCGAGCACCCUCCGGCAGCCGCCCUCGGGCCUCCGCGGCCGGGCGGGAGGGCGCCUCCCCGACCACACUUCGGCCGCUUGGCACCCACAGCCGGGAGGGCGUGAGGAAGGACUCGGUCUAACUCCGGGGAACCCUCGGAGUUCCGGCGCAGACACCCGAGGGGGUGUCCUGGGAACUCCUUCGCCCGCGACACCCGUUCUUCUCCGUCUCCCGACCACCAGCGACGCAGCAGGGCGGCUGCCGGCCCGGCCCGGCCCGCCUUGCGGGCUGUGCGCGGCGCAGCUCUUCCUCCGCGGGGCCGUGAAGGCCACCGGCCGCCCCCGCGCGCCCAGCUGCCCGGCCCCGCCGCCUAAGCCGCCGCGUUGCUGGCGGGUAGCCGCGGGCCUCCGGUGCGCGGGCCCCGGCGCGUCCCCGAGCGCGCGCCUGGCCGCGGCCCCGCGCGAGUUGCACUAACUUUCCGGGGCGGGGGAGGGGUGGGCGCCGCGGGCCCGGCUCCCAGGCCUUACCUGUGCUCAAGUUGUCGUUGAUUUUCAAAGGCACCCGCAGGAUGUAGACCAGGAAUAGCACGAUGAAGAACCACACGGUCCACAGAUACGUCCAAGACCAAACUAUGCAGGACUUGAGCUGCUCCAGAAAGCCCGUGGCCGCUUCAGCCAUGUUUCAGCGCUCCUCUCUGCUGCCGCGGCUCUUGGUGUCUGCCGGGAUGAUUCACCGGCCCGGAGGCGCAGCUCGCGCCGCCGCCGCCGCCGCGGCCCGGGCGCCCCCGGAGCCCGCCCGCCGCCGGGGACGCGGGCUCGGCGGGAAAUCGCGCGGGCCGCGGGCGCGCCGGCUUUUCCUUCUCCAGCCUUAUUGCUAACUCUCUAAAGGUCCCUACAAGUGGCUUUCGUGGAGCGAUCACGUGGCCCCUGCCCCCUCGCGUUCUGGGUCCAUUUAUAUUUAUUAUGCUAAUAUUUAGAAAGAGAAGGCCAAGUGGCGCGCCGAAGGAAACGCCUCAGGCAGUUACAACCCGCAUAAGUUGAGCGUUUACCACACGCCAGGCGCUGCUCCACGAUCCGUACAAUCUCAUUUAACCCCUGCAACAAUUCCCCACUACGAUCCUCUUUCUAUAGGUAGGGAAACUGAGGCUCACAGCAGCUGCGUAGUUUACCUUAAGGUGGAACCAAAAUUCAAUUGCAGUGGUGUAUUCUGGGGUCCGAGGUCUUAAACCCUACUCUGCUCCCUUAUCAGGAUUCAGGCUCAGGGAAUGAAUAAACCCGGGACAGCUAGGAGAAGGGAGGAGGUGCGCUCCUGUCGCCGGCUAGUAGGCCUGAAGAUAAAUCACUCUAUUCAGCAAGAUUUGGGUGGCAGAUGCUAUUUACCUUUGUUCUGUCUCUUUGAAGCAGCGCAGGGAUUUUCCAGAGAAAUCUUGACAGAUGAAUGUUUAUCCUCCAGGUUUUUUGGUGAUCAGAGGUCAAACUAUUCUCAGCCUGUUUUUAAUAUAAACAAUUCUCUGGGAUAAUUUUGACUGUGAAACGGCCACCUCUAACAGAAAGUCCAUUUUAAACAUUGUUUUGUUGUUUUUGUUUUGUUUUGACUGUGCUGAAUAAAAUGUUUCUUUUAUUCUA